UUGAUUGACCAUGCAUAUAUAUAUAUAUAUAGCAAUCAAUCGUAUAUGGAUGGAGAUUGACAAAUGUGUUCGAGCCACCCGUGGCCCAACCCAAAUCGCUCGAGGAUGGAAAUGACUAAUGAGGUCCGUCGUCAGAUCGUUGAGAAGAGGGAUAAUCUGAGUGCUUGGUUAUGCUCGUAGAACAUUUGGCAACAUAAGCUUCAAGAAUGAGGUUGCACUUCGUGUGAUACGAUGACAGAGUCAAUGAGAUUUUUCAGAUGAAUGAUGUCAAAGUGAUCAGUAUCAUCUCUUGCACAAUCAUUCUUCAGGGUACAUCAAAAUUGAAACCGUUGAAUGAGCUAUUGCCUUCUUCAAUGAAAUGGGUACAAAAGAUACAGUAUCUGACAGUACUAUUGUAUCUGGAUGUGUCCAAAAUGUGGAUGCUGAAGAAGC